AUAUUAAUAAGGGGAGGAAAAGAAACUAACAAGGAUUCCCUUAGUAACGGCGAGUGAAGCGGGAAUAGCUCAACAUGAAAAUCGGUGUCCUAAGCGGGACUUCGAAUUGUAGCCUAGAGACGCGUUAUCAGCGUGUGACCCAGGAAUAAGUCCUUUGGAAGAAGGCAUCAAAGAGGGUGAGAAUCCCGUCCUUGUCCUGGAGUUCGCCGCGUACGAUGCGCGUUCGAAGAGUCGAGUUGUUUGGGAUUGCAGCUCUAAAUGGGUGGUAAGUUUCAUCUAAAGCUAAAUAUUGGCGAGAGACCGAUAGCGCACAAGUA
rnacentral:rRNA from 1 species